rnacentral:rRNA from 1 species
GACGUAGGUGGCGAACGUUAUCCGGAAUUAUUGGGCGUAAAGAGUGCGUAGAUGGCCUGAUAAGUUAACAGUGGUAAAUCGAGGCUCAACCUCGUGGAAACUGAUAAUACUGUCUGGCUCGAGUACAGAAGAGGUUAACGGAAUUCCAUGUGGAGCGGUAAAAUGCGUAGAUAUAUGGAAGAACACCAAUAACGGCGAAGGCAGUUAACUAUUCUGUUACUGACAUUGAGGCACGAAAGCGUGGGGAGCAAAACGG